GCGGGAGUAGCUCAGUUGGUAGAGCAUCAGCCUUCCAAGCUGAGGGUCGAGGGUUCGAGUCUCUUCUCCCGCU
rnacentral:tRNA from 1 species